CCUACGGGCGGCAGCAGUGGGGAAUAUUGCGCAAUGGGCGAAAGCCUGACGCAGCGACGCCGCGUGAGGGAUGAAGGUCUUCGGAUCGUAAACCUCUGUCAGCAGGGAAGAACGGUCACUGUGCUAAUCAGCAGUGAAUUGACGGUACCUGCAAAGGAAGCACCGGCUAACUCCGUGCCAGCAGCCGCGGUAAUACGGAGGGUGCGAGCGUUAAUCGGAAUUACUGGGCGUAAAGAGCUCGUAGGCGGUAUGUCAAGUAAAGGGGGAAAUCCCCGCGCUCAACGUGGGAACUGCCUUUGAAACUGGCAAACUGGAGUGGGUGAGAGGAUAGUGGAAUUCCAGGUGUAGGAGUGAAAUCCGUAGAUAUCUGGAGGAACAUCAGGGGCGAAGGCGACUAUCUGGCACAUAACUGACGCUGAGGAGCGAAAGCGUGGGUAGCAAACAGGAUUAGAUACCCGUGUAGUC
rnacentral:rRNA from 1 species